rfam:Drosophila sechellia strain Rob3c scaffold_5870 genomic scaffold, whole genome shotgun sequence.
AACCUAAUAGCGUAAUUAACUUGACUAAUAAUGGGAUUAGUUUUUUAGCUAUUUAUAGCUAAUUAACACAAUCCCGGGGCGUUCUAUAUAGUUAUGUAUAAUGUAUAUUUAUAUUAUUUAUGCCUCUAACUGGAACGUACCUUGAGCAUAUAUGCUGUGACCCGAAAGAUGGUGAACUAUACUUGAUCAGGUUGAAGUCAGGGGAAACCCUGAUGGAAGACCGAAACAGUUCUGACGUGCAAAUCGAUUGUCAGAAUUGAGUAUAGGGGCGAAAGACCAAUCGAACCAUCUAGUAGCUGGUUCCUUCCGAAGUUUCCCUCAGGAUAGCUGGUGCAUUUUAAUAUUAUAUAAAAUAAUCUUAUCUGGUAAAGCGAAUGAUUAGAGGCCUUAGGGUCGAAACGAUCUUAACCUAUUCUCAAACUUUAAAUGGGUAAGAACCUUAACUUUCUUGAUAUGAAGUUCAAGGUUAUGAUAUAAUGUGCCCAGUGGGCCACUUUUGGUAAGCAGAACUGGCGCUGUGGGAUGAAUGUAAUGUUACGGUGCCCAAAUUAACAACUCAUGCAGAUACCAUGAAAGGCGUUGGUUGCUUAAAACAGCAGGACGGUGAUCAUGGAAGUCGAAAUUCGCUAAGGAGUGUGUAACAACUCACCUGCCGAAGCAACUAGCCCUUAAAAUGGAUGGCGCUUAAGUUGUAUACCUAUACAUUACCGCUAAAGUAGAUGAUUUAUAUUACUUGUGAUAUAAAUUUUGAAACUUUAGUGAGUAGGAAGGUACAAUGGUAUGCGUAGAAGUGUUUGGCGUAAGCCUGCAUGGAGCUGCCAUUGGUACAGAUCUUGGUGGUAGUAGCAAAUAAUCGAAUGAGACCUUGGAGGACUGAAGUGGAGAAGGGUUUCGUGUGAACAGUGGUUGAUCACGAGUUAGUCGGUCCUAAGUUCAAGGCGAAAGCCGAAAAUUUUCAAGUAAAACAAAAAUGCCUAACUAUAUAAACAAAGCGAAUAUAAUACACUUGAAAAAUUUUGAACGAAAGGGAAUACGGUUCCAAUUCCGUAACCUGUUGAGUAUCCGUUUGUUAUUAAAUAUGGGCCUCGUGCUCAUCCUGGCAACAGGAACGACCAUAAAGAAGCCGUCGAGAGAUAUCGGAAGAGUUUUCUUUUCUGUUUUAUAGCCGUACUACCAUGGAAGUCUUUCGCAGAGAGAUAUGGUAGAUGGGCUAGAAGAGCAUGACAUAUACUGUUGUGUCGAUAUUUUCUCCUCGGACCUUGAAAAUUUAUGGUGGGGACACGCAAACUUCUCAACAGGCCGUACCAAUAUCCGCAGCUGGUCUCCAAGGUGAAGAGUCUCUAGUCGAUAGAAUAAUGUAGGUAAGGGAAGUCGGCAAAUUAGAUCCGUAACUUCGGGAUAAGGAUUGGCUCUGAAGAUUGAGAUAGUCGGGCUUGAUUGGGAAACAAUAACAUGGUUUAUGUGCUCGUUCUGGGUAAAUAGAGUUUCUAGCAUUUAUGUUAGUUACUUGUUCCCCGGAUAGUUUAGUUACGUAGCCAAUUGUGGAACUUUCUUGCUAAAAUUUUUAAGAAUACUAUUUGGGUUAAACCAAUUAGUUCUUAUCAAUUAUAACGAUUAUCAAUUAACAAUCAAUUCAGAACUGGCACGGACUUGGGGAAUCCGACUGUCUAAUUAAAACAAAGCAUUGUGAUGGCCCUAGCGGGUGUUGACACAAUGUGAUUUCUGCCCAGUGCUCUGAAUGUCAAAGUGAAGAAAUUCAAGUAAGCGCGGGUCAACGGCGGGAGUAACUAUGACUCUCUUAGGGUAGCCAAAUGCCUCGUCAUCUAAUUAGUGACGCGCAUGAAUGGAUUAACGAGAUUCCUACUGUCCCUAUCUACUAUCUAGCGAAACCCCAGCCAAGGGACGGGGCUUGGGAUAAUUAGCCGGGGAAAAGAAGACCCUUUUGAGC